rnacentral:rRNA from 2 species
AUGGCUCAGGAUGAACGCUGGCGGCGUGCCUAAUACAUGCAAGUCGAGCGAAUGGAUUGAGAGCUUGCUCUCAAGAAGUUAGCGGCGGACGGGUGAGUAACACGUGGGUAACCUGCCCAUAAGACUGGGAUAACUCCGGGAAACCGGGGCUAAUACCGGAUAAUAUUUUGAACUGCAUGGUUCGAAAUUGAAAGGCGGCUUCGGCUGUCACUUAUGGAUGGACCCGCGUCGCAUUAGCUAGUUGGUGAGGUAACGGCUCACCAAGGCAACGAUGCGUAGCCGACCUGAGAGGGUGAUCGGCCACACUGGGACUGAGACACGGCCCAGACUCCUACGGGAGGCAGCAGUAGGGAAUCUUCCGCAAUGGACGAAAGUCUGACGGAGCAACGCCGCGUGAGUGAUGAAGGCUUUCGGGUCGUAAAACUCUGUUGUUAGGGAAGAACAAGUGCUAGUUGAAUAAGCUGGCACCUGACGGUACCU